GACGAACGCUGGCGGCGUGCUUAACACAUGCAAGUCGAACGGAAAGGCCCUGCUUUUGUGGGGUGCUCGAGUGGCGAACGGGUGAGUAACACGUGAGUAACCUGCCCUUGACUUUGGGAUAACUUCAGGAAACUGGGGCUAAUACCGGAUAGGAGCUCCUGCUGCAUGGUGGGGGGUGGAAAGGUUCGGCGGUUGGGGAUGGACUCGCGGCUUAUCAGCUUGUUGGUGGGGUAGUGGCUUACCAAGGCUUUGACGGGUAGCCGGCCUGAGAGGGUGACCGGCCACAUUGGGACUGAGAUACGGCACAGACUCCUACGGGGGGCAGCAGUGGGGAAUAGUGCACAAUGGGCGGAAGCCUGAUGCAGCAACGCCGCGUGAGGGAUGACGGCCUUCGGGUUGUAAACCGCUUUCGCCUGUGACGAAGCGUGAGUGACGGUAAUGGGUAAAGAAGCACCGGCUAACUACGUG
rnacentral:rRNA from 1 species